UGCAGAUCUACAGGCGACGACGGGUAGCCGGCCUGAGAGGGCGACCGGCCACACUGGGACUGAGACACGGCCCAGACUCCUACGGGAGGCAGCAGUGGGGAAUAUUGCACAAUGGGCGAAAGCCUGAUGCAGCGACGCCGCGUGAGGGAUGACGGCCUUCGGGUUGUAAACCUCUUUCAGUAGGGACGAAGCGCAAGUGACGGUACCUACAGAAGAAGCACCGGCCAACUACGUGCCAGCAGCCGCGGUAAUACGUAGGGUGCGAGCGUUGUCCGGAUUUACUGGGCGUAAAGAGCUCGUAGGCGGUUUGUCACGUCGUCUGUGAAAACCCGAGGCUUAACCUCGGGCCUGCAGGCGAUACGGGCAGACUUGAGUACUGUAGGGGAGACUGGAAUUCCUGGUGUAGCGGUGGAAUGCGCAGAUAUCAGGAGGAACACCGGUGGCGAAGGCGGGUCUCUGGGCAGUAACUGACGCUGAGGAGCGAAAGCGUGGGUAGCGAACAGGAUUAGAUACCCUGGUAGUCCACGCCGUAAACGGUGGGUACUAGGUGUGGGUUUCCUUCCACGGGAUCCGUGCCGUAGCUAACGCAUUAAGUACCCCGCCUGGGGAGUACGGA
rnacentral:rRNA from 1 species